rnacentral:lncRNA from 1 species
AUCUUAUUAUACCUUCAGAUCAAUGCUCAGGUUGGUCGAGCCACACUUGGGUCUGGAUGUCUGGUUUGUUAGAUGUACUUGAUGUUGUCAUGUUAAUGGUUGGACCUAACUAGGAUUUUCAGUAGAAGCAUCACACGCCUAUUGAAGGGAUGUCUAGGGCAAAAUUUAAUUGUUAAAAAUUAUUUAAAAAAAUAAUUAGUUAUGAACCUACCCAUGGAUGCACUA